GGAUCCCAAGUGCUUGCUCGUAAGAGUAAGCUGUUUUUAUGUCUAAAAAGCAUAGAGAGUAAGGGCUGGGUAAGACGGGUGCCAGCCGCCGCGGUAAUACCUGCAGCUCAAGUAGUGACCGCUAUUAUUGGGCCUAAAACGUUCGUAGCCGGUUUGAUAAAUGCCUGGGUAAAUAGUGUAGCUUAACUAUACGAAUUCCGGGUAGACUGUUAAACUUGAGACCGGGAGAGGCUAGAGGUACUCCUGGGGUAGAGGUGAAAUUCUGUAAUCCUGAGGGGACCACCAGUGGCGAAGGCGUCUAGCUAGAACGGGUCUGACGGUGAGGAACGAAGCCCUGGGGCGCGAACCGGAUUAGAUACCCGGGUAGUCCAGGGUGUAAACGCUGCUUGCUUGAUGUUAGUUGGGCUCCGAGCCCAAUUAGUGUCGGAGAGAAGUUGUUAAGCAAGCUGCCUGGAAGUACGAUCGCAAGA
rnacentral:rRNA from 1 species